GUUCUUCAUUGUUCCCAAAUUUCACUCCCAGGAUAAUGGCGACCACCACCUGUUUGUUCAAAAGAAAAGUCAACAAUCAGCAAUUUUUGGAGUGUUUUCACGGCUUCUGAUGGAUUUCUGUCGUUUCUAUUCACGUGUAGAAGUAAGCCUCCCACUGUCAUCAACAAAGCUGGAAAUGCAGCCAAACCCAGGGAAAGCCUCCAUCCCCAUGGAUCAAUCUUCUGUGUACCAUAAUUGAUCAUGUUUGCCGUGAAGAUCCCAAGAGUAGUUGCCAGCUGAAACAUCAUGUUCAGGCCUCCUCGAAGAUGAGUUGGUGCCAUCUCUGAUAAGUAGAGUGGCACUGCCUUCAAUAACAAACAAGCAUUAAUACACCAGGAGGAAUUGAGGUGCAGAAAGCAUACCUGAUUCCCAAAGCCAAUGCCUACACCAAGCAUUAUUCUUCCUAGGAUGAGCAUUUCAAUAUUGACGGCGGCAGCAUUUAGAGUUGCCCCAACAAGAAAGCUAAUUCCUCCGCAGACUAUGCUUGCC